rnacentral:rRNA from 1 species
UAAUACGGAGAGGGCAAGCGUUGUUCGGAAUCACUGGGCAUAAAGGGCACGUAGGCGGGAUAGUAAGUCGGUUGUGAAAGCCCGGGGCUCAACCCCGGAACGGCUUCCGAAACUACUAACCUUGAGGAUGAGAGGGGAGAGUGGAACUUCUGGUGGAGCGGUGAAAUGCGUAGAUAUCAGAAGGAACACCGGUGGCGAAAGCGACUCUCUGGCUCAUAUCUGACGCUGAGGUGCGAAAGCUAGGGUAGCGAACGGGAUUAGAUACCCCGGUAGUCCUAGCCGUAAACGAUGGGAACUAGGUAGGGGGACGUCUAUGCGUUUCCCUGCUGGAGCUAAUGUUUUAAGUUCCCCGCCUGGGGAGUAUGGUCGCAAGGCUA